UUUUUUUUUUUUUUUUUUAAACUCAAGCUGCUUAUUUAAAUAAUCUCCUCACCAUCACUUUCUAACCUACUGUGGCUAUCUAUAACUUGUAGUGAGAAUUCCAUACCGCUCCAAGUGCUUCUAAAGUCCUUUGUGAGUAUCUGGAACCUGAAACCUUUCCCAGAUAUUGAGUGCGUAGCUAAUAUGUACUCUGGGAUUGUUUUUUUAAAUCAGUAGUUGCAGUAACUUGGUCUUAUAUGAUAAAUCCAUAGAGAGAAAGAACUGAUUUGUUUUAUAAGUCAUCAAUGAACAUAGCUCAAUAGUUUGUUUAAUGACUUUACAAGUUGUGGGAGAAUGACCAUUGUGAAUAAGUUAUGUUAAUGUGGAAAAAAAUUGAGAGGCAGAUACUGAAUUGGCCACAAGAGCUUUGAUCACUAGUUUUGAUCAUUGCACAUGAUAAACUUUGUCAAACAUUUCAUGUGACUGGAUCGUUAUAGUUAAAGUGCAUUUCAUACAACCAUCAUACACUUGCUUCUUUCUAAGUAAUUAAAAGUCCCAACAGUCUCUGGGAUGUGUUUAGAUCAUUUAUAUUUAUUGUAAUUACUAAAGACUAUAGAUAUACCAUUGUUACUGUUUUCUGUAUUUCUUCUACUUUUGCUCCUCUUCCCUUUUCUUUCUUACUUUAUAUUAUUGGAAUCAUUUUAGUGUUCUAAUUUAGCUUAUGUAUGGAUCUUUGAUCCCCUUUGAAAAGAACUUUUGGUGGAUAUUCUAGGACUCAUGCUAUGCAUUUUCGGUGUACAUAGGGUUAAUUUUGCACUGCUCCAAGUGAAAGGUGGAGAUGUAAAGCAAAAGGCGAAAGGUAGAAACAUAAAGUAAAAGGUAGAUUUCGUGGUUCUCUCCCACCCAUCUGUGUAAGACACGUGUGUUGUAUCUGCCUAUCCCAAGAAACCCAAUGACCGCUGUUAGCAAUCAUAGGCAUUUUCAAGAAAUCAGAGAAAACCACUCGUUAAUUUGCAUUUCUACUGUAGUUCUCUCCAAGAUGUGAAAAAUGCUAUGUCUUCUGGUGUUCUUUUUUUCUUUUUUGACCCUGAAGCGUUUUGUAGGGUUGUAGGGUUGUAGGCCCCCCAUCAGCUCCGCCACAGGGCACAGCUGCUUGGGGAGGCUGAACAAGGGGAGUUUGACUGCGCUUAUCCCACACCUUCCCGGGGCGGGUGUUGGGAAGCACUGAGACAACCACUUGGGAGUGGGAAAGCACAGACUGAGCCCUGGCAAAGCUGGAGCUGGUUGGGGGCCCCAGGUAUGCAACAGGACUGGGGUCAUGGGGUUCUUAGGCUCUUGAACAUCCAGGUACCUUGGGAGUCAUGGAAAAGCAGAGAACAGAGUUGGGGGCCUGUGGGCCAGGGACAGCAUCUAGCCAGGUGCCAGGGGUAAAGGAAAGCCCUGGCUUGUCCAUUGGGGAAGAUUGUCCUUAGCUUGGCAGAUGCAGGCUUGGUGGCAGUUGUGGCUAGGAGCCCAGAGAGACCUUCUAGGGAGAUUAGGCUGUGGCUCUGUAGGCAAAGGCCUUCUUCAUGGCUCACCAUAGCAGAUCUUGGUGAAAAGAGACAGCCUAGGGUUGUAAACAGUUUAUUGUCAUGGCAGAAAGUGGAUGUAUAAAACUCUACCUUUGCAGGGAGGAAUGUGUGGAAAAAGAAGUUUAUUGGGAUGUCCUCUGGGCCUCUAGCGACCUCAUUAGCUUAGAGAACUCUGUUUUGGGUCUUUGUGACAGUGGUCAUGUCUCUUUUCCUAUUGUCUUGAUCUAAGAUGUUAGGGGUGCCUCAUCUACAUGUGGAAGGGCUUGGGGCAUUGCCUCUACAUGACUGAUGGCCACAAAUCUCUGUAUGGGUGUGUGUGGGGCUGUGGCUACCUGACAAGUGCCUGGUGAGAGGGACAGAGGAAGCUCCUACUGUCCUUCAGGGUUUCUUAGGGCUUCUGCUUCUCAAAUGCUGAAGUCACAGGUGUGUGCCACCAUGCCUUGCUUCUUUUUCUUCCCCUUUCUUUUCACUUUUUAACAUUUCAAAUAAGGCUCUUGAGUUGCACCUACACAAUUAUCCAUAACUCUUUCAUUGUUUCCUCUAGGUUGUUUUUUGCUUAUUCAUUACACAAGUAACAUUUUACUCACAGAACGAUCUAAGGUAGUAGUUUCUUUUCACUGGUUUGUGAGAUGUAUAUUGGACCCUUAGGAAGGCCAUCCCUUAGAUUGUUAAACAAUCUACAUAAAGCUUUUUAAAAGGUAUUUAAGAUGAUGUCAGUUUAUGAACACUUACAGAGAACCAAAUCGUAAACUUUUAUUUCAAAUUAAAAACAAAGCUCUUAAACGUAUUAGCUUGUUCAAUUUUUAAAAAAAGAUUUAUUAUAUGUAAGUACACUGUAGCUGUCUUCAGACACUCCAGAAAGGGCAUCCGAUCUCAUUACGGAUGGUUGUGAGUCACCAUGUGGUUGUUAGAUUUGAACUCAGGACCUUCGGAAGAGUAGUCAGGGCUUUUAACCUGCUGAGCCAUCUCUCCAGCCCCAGCUUGUUCAAAUUUUAAACAAUUUAAAACCUUUUAAAAGUAUGUUGAGAAGAGCCAGGCAGAGUGACACAUGCCUUGAAAUCCCAGCAGUAGAGACACUGAUAUAAAUAUAAAUAUAAUAGUAUUAUAUUAUUAUAUAUUACAUUACUGUAUUAUAAUUAUUUAUAUAUUUAUAUGGAUAAAUAUAUCACAUAUUUAUAUAAAAUAUGAAGUAAUCAUAAUCACUAGACUAUAUUAUUAUAUAGUAUAUUACUACAAUAAUAAUUAUAAAAGUAAUAUAGUACUAAGUAAGGCAGGUUUCUAGGUAAACAGUGUAAAUAUAUGUGUCACUUAGAGGAAACAGAUGUUUCUUGUCCUCCACGUUGACCUGUUGUCUAGGCUCUGUGAUGUGUGGUUCUGGGCAAUCAUGGUUUAGAACAGCGAUACACACCUCAUGUCUUUGCCUUCUGUUGCUUUCUCUUGACGGUACAUGUAAGAGUUUCCUGUCUGAGAAUAUGGGAACCUUUGUUUACAGGAGGACUGACAAUUGGGGGCCUAGUCUUUGGGACAUUUCUCCUGAACCUCCUUCUUUUAUUAUAUUUUUAAUUCUUCUGGAAAUUGCAAGGCUGACUGCUACUUCAACGAAAAGGUCCAAUUGUCUUAGCUUAUUGUCUGCUGCCUUGAACUGGAACUCCAACAGUGGGAUAGCAUUUGCUGCCUUCAACUCUCUCAGUCGGCCACAACAAAUUCCACCUUCUUACCUAUACACAAAAGGAAUUUGGGGUUAGUGUUCAUGUUGUAAAAGGAAAAUGUUUAAAAGCCAUCUCCUUUCUAUCCCUUCCCCCUCCCUAGAGCGUUCAGCAUUGAGUCAAAAGUAAAGUGUUUUAUUGAAAGAAAAACAACAAGCAAAAGGAAAUCACCUGUUUUGUUUUGUUGUUUUGUUUUGUUUCUUCAUUUGCUCAAGGAGCAGAAAGACUAGUCAUCACUGUAAAAUCGUAAGUCCAGUUUCCCUUACAAGUUCUGCUUGUUCUUGGACAGUCCUGGCCUCAAGAUCCAUUUACAGAAGCAAAGGUUAUCUGUUAAAUGACAAAGGUAUCC
rnacentral:lncRNA from 1 species